GGAAGGGUACAGCUCAGUGGUAGAGCACAUGCUUAGCAUGCAUGACGUCCUGGGUUCAACUCCUAGUACCUCCA
rfam:Camelus ferus unplaced genomic scaffold scaffold2798, whole genome shotgun sequence.